GCAUUACUAGUAUUAGAGGCACUGCCUGCCCAGUGACAUGUGUUCAACGGCCGCGGUACCCUGACCGUGCAAAGGUAGCAUAAUCACUUGUUCUCUAAAUAAGGACUUGUAUGAAUGGCCACACGAGGGUUUAACUGUCUCUUACUUCUAAUCAGUGAAAUUGACCUAUCCGUGAAGAGGCGGAUAUAACCAAAUAAGACGAGAAGACCCUAUGGAGCUUCAAUUUAAUAAUGCAAACUAAUAACUUAAAAACCAACAGGCACCAAUCCACCGUGUAUGUAUUAUAAACUUUGGUUGGGGUGACCUCGGAGCAUAACAUAACCUCCGAAAGACAUAUACCAAGACUUAACCAGUCUAAGUAAACUUAUAACCAUUGACCCAAUAACUUGAUCAACGGACUAAGUUACCCUAGGGAUAACAGCGCAAUCCUACUCUAGAGUCCAUAUCGACAGUAGGGUUUACGACCUCGAUGUUGGAUCAAGACAUCCUAAUGGUGCAGCCGCUAUUAAGGGUUCGUUUGUUC
rnacentral:rRNA from 1 species